UCUCCUUAGAGUCUUCUCCAGGUUUAACAAGUCCUACUCCUUCAAUGUUUCUUCAUAAGAGAGGUGCUCCAGACCUCUCUGUGGCCCUCCUCCACUUCAGCAGUUCCGCAUUCUUCCCGUAUUGGGAGUUCCAGCCUGGAUACAGAAUUCCAGAUGGAGCCUUACAAGGGCAGAAUGAAGAAGGACAAUCACCUGCCUCUCCCUGCUGGCUGCCCAUCUUUUGACGCAGUUCAGGAUACUGUUGGCCUUUCAGGCUGCAAACGGACACUGCUGGCUCAUGUUUAGAGAAAUCGUUGGAACCUCAAUGCUAGAAGGCUUAUUUAGCUGAAAAAUGCUGUAUCCUGUGGAUGUCAGAAAUUCUGUGAAGCUACAAACUGUGGCUGCAUGCAGUGCAGUGUCCCAGAAUAAAAUCAAUACCUGCAAAUGCAGUCCAGCAGUGCCUGCAACUAAGAAGAGGAGCAUUUUAACUAUUAAAAUAACGUUUGUG